AGACAAGAGAUGUGUUUGCUUAGAGUGUUUGCGGAAGCUGAAUAAGAGGCAGGAUCUUUUCUUUAUCCUCUGAAUAGACACUGAGGAAUCCAAGAAUGUACAGGAGGAGAAAAUGCCAUCUUAUUAGCAAGUUUUGCUCUUCCUAUUUCGCCAGCAUCCGAGGUGCUCUGUGGAAAGGCAUAUAGAUUAUCAUCUGGGGAGCUUUCCAAGCUGCCUACAAAAAGAAACGAAAGGCGGAGAAGACAACGAGCCAGAUCAGGCUGGCCGUCUUAGCCCGGCAACCGCUUUUCAUCCCUUAACCACACAGGGUCCGUGCUGAGACGAGAUCCAGCAGUAUCGCCAGGGUUCCUCGUAGACGAUCAGGUUUCCAGACACUGCGUUUUCUUGGACCUCAUCUCUCGUCAGUUGCCACCACUGGCUGCGUGUAUAAUGGAACUUUGAAUCCGUUUGCUGUACUAAUGGGGAGUGCACGUGAGUGAUGGGACGGUCUCCCCAGAGGCCAUGCAUUUCUGCAUCUGAGAUUAUCUGAUCAAAGUAAAAAAUACCUGCAUGGUCACCCCUACUCCCUAUGAUCAAUUGUAGCUAAUGACACAUUUCAUGGCUUGUCUCCUGUCCUAAAUAUGGCAAUAAAUAACUGGACUAGGAACUGAUUUAAAAGUCUCUGGAAAAGCAUCAGCACAGAGUCCCUGUGAACUACUGUUUUAAGCCUCACGACAGAGGCUUUCUCUCAGUUUACUCCAUGCCCCUUAUGGUUUAAACGAUUGCAGUUGCUACCUCCUUGGAUCUUCAGCAAAUAUCCAUAAAUGUGGAAUUGUUAUCUGAAGUAAACCCAAGCCUGAAACAAAAGGAAAAGUUUCAUUGUGGAUAAAGUAAUAUUGAGAUUCCUAUUAUAAAUCAAGAGGAGGUAUUGAGUAGAGAGGUGGAAGUUCUAGGAAGAGCAAAGAAUGGAAUUGGAAUAGUCCCAUACAGACAAGGCCCGGGUAGAAGAGGGAAAGAUGGCAAUGCCAAGGUCUGCUACAACCCAGCCAUGAUUGUCGGCUGUAGUGCCGGAAGCACAGACAACAGAAGCAGAUAUAGACAAGGGAUUGCAUCAAACUGAAGAUGUUCUGCCCCGCGAUGGAAACAAUCAACAGAGUUAAAAGGCAGCCUAAUAAACAGAGAAAAAUCUUUGCAAAUUGUACGUCCGGUAAAGUGUGAGUAUCCAAAAUAUAAGAGGAAUCCCUAUACUUUAAUAUCAAAAAUCCAAAAUUAUCAGAUUAAAUAAUGGGCAAAGUACUUGAACAGACAUUUUCCUAAAAAGAUAUACGAGUAACUAAAGGUAUAUAAAAAAAAUCAUCAACAUUGCUAAUCAUCAGGGAAAAGCUAAUCAAAACCCCAAUACAUCAUCACCUUAUAGCUAGAAUGGCUGUUAUCAAAGAGACAAAAGUUAACAAGUAAGAAUGUGUUUGUGCUUUGGUUUGUUUUUUCGAGUUCUCUAUUCUGGAGGGAGAACAUCAGAGUGGGAAAGGCAAGGUUGUCUAGUGUAGAUUUGUAUUGAUCUGUGGCCCUACCAAUUAUCUCUGCUAUGGCCUUGAGCGAGACAUUGAACUGCCUAGUUCCUCAUGUAUAAAAUGGGUACAUAGUAUCCACUCUGCAGGUAGGAUAAAAUGUACAUAAGGUAUAGAGGUCUAGAAUAAAUGUGGUGCUAGAUAAAAUGUAACUGAUAAAAGUUAUUGUUUAUUGAAUGCUUACUACGUGGCAGUUACUGUCUUAAUAAUUUACAAAUAUUUACUCUCUUAUUCUUCAUAACAACUCUCUCACAUGCAUACUGUUAUAAUUGCCAUUUUACAGAAGAAGAAAUCGAGAUUCAUAGAGGAAAUGCGACUUCCUUUUAACUAUACAACUAAGGUGGUAAAAUUGGUUUUCAAACUCAGGCAGUCUUUCAAAGUCUUUGAAAUCUAUCCAUACUGUUAAGUUCUAGCAUCUUUUUGGCUUCUAUCAGCUGUGCCUAUGCCUGCCUUGGUUUCAAAUUGCAGUAAUCUAAAAGUCAGCAAGAAGACAAAGAGAGGAAUUUGUGUUUAUUCUCAAGGAAAAAAAGACUUUUAAGAAUGCCAAUGUGUUUUUAUAAUGUAAGACAUUCAAUGAGAUGGGGUAUACUCAUAGUUUGAAAACUGCAAGUUUUAUUUUAAGUCGUGAAACAGAUGCAUUUAAAAUUUCAGACUUGGAAAAUGAAACUUUGAAGCAGGGAAAUUGUUCCUGUGUACAGCAAUGAAAAGGAAUCAGGGAGAGUUAAAUAAAGCCGUGAAAAAUUAAAAGUAUAAUGCUUAAUGUUUGCGGGAGUAAUCCUUAGCCUUCAUGGUGUAAAUACAGGCACAAAAAGCAAAUCAGAAUUAUAGAAAUGCAAAAGAAAGUAUAGUCACUUUAGUAAAAAAUAAUCAGGUACUAUGUUAAUUUCACAGGCCAGCACAGAAUUUCCAGAGAGUUCUUGAAUUUUUAAAGAUGUUUACAAGGAGGAGCUAAAAGGUCUAAAAUCUGUAUCCUCUUAGUAUUCCACUGAGGCUGUGGGUGCAUGAAAUAAUGAGUUAGAACUCUGCAGGAACUGCUUUGUGGCAAUUGCGAAGCAUAAAGCAUAUUUAAUUAAAUUAAGUAAUCUCUAUUUAGAUGAAAAUAAAUCAUUUUAGUGCUGACUGUUUUUAAUGAUUCAGGCUGUCACUCAAAAACAGACAGGAAGCUGAUAAAGUACUUAGAACUCCACUUACAGUGCUUUUAUAGCAAAACACUAAUGGGAUUUUUCUUGCCAGGGAAAUGCCAUAUUUUAUUAAUAAAUGAUUCUGAAACACUCACAAUAAUUACUAACAUAUAUCACAAAAUUUUCUAAAAAGGUGGAAAAGAUACUUUAAAGACAUAAGCAUGUUUAAAAGGAUAAAAACACCUUUAGAGUAUUUUAAAAAUUAAGAUUAUUUAAUCCACACAUAGACAAACUUCAGUAUGAACAUUGAUAAGGACGAGAAGAGAUCUUUACUAAAAUCUCUCUUUUCAUUGUGAGGUAACUAGACCUCUCUUUUGGUUUUCAGUAGUACUAGCAGCCAUCAGGAAGGAUUUGGGGCAGGUGGCAGAGUUAGAAGCCCCAGGAGUCAAAUCUCCCCAUCUACAUAGCAGUUGCUCUGGCAGAGUCUGUCUCAUGUAGGUACUUUGGCAUGCUGGAUUCUAUUGAAGGCUUGCAAAUUCCAGGGGAAGGUGGACCACAAAUUAUGAUGUUUCUUUUAGCCCUUAGAACAGUAGCCGCUAUCCUACUAUCCUAUCCAUUCCCUACCAUCCUAUCCUAUCCAUUCCCAUUCCCCACUCAGGGUGGGCAAAUAGGAUCCUGCCUCCUGAACAUCACGGGAUCAUGGAACUGUGUUCUAAUCACUGAUUGCCUUCACUGAUCACUGAAGUUCAAACAAAGGGGUGGGCAGCAAUUGCUGUUGUAUUUGCUGCCAUUGUUGAAAAUCCCUCCUAUUUUGACUAAAGUGACUGCAAGGGGAAUUAAAGGGCCAGUAACCUUUAUUUUCUCCCAUGGUUUUGCUCUCUGGGAAGCCAGACACUAAAGACUAAGACAUUCAAAAGCCAUUGCACAUGUGAGGAAAAUUAGAAAUUAAUCAUGUUUGUCCAGGGAAAGGCACAGACUUAGUAAAAACCUGAGAAGACCUUAGGUUGAUCCUUGGCACACAGACAGCCUAAACAAUUAAAAAAAACCAAAAAAACAAACAAAAAAAAA
ensembl:lncRNA